UGCAAGUCGAACGAGACCUUCGGGUCUAGUGGCGCACGGGUGCGUAACGCGCCCGUAAUCUACCCGAUACAGGGGAAUAACACGGGGAAACUCGUGCUAAUACCGCGUAAUAAAUGAGAAGGCAUCUUCUUAUUUUAAAAGCUUCGGCGGUAUCGGAAGAGCCUGCGUCCUAUUAGCUAGUUGGUAAGGUAACAGCUUACCAAGGCGACGAUAGGUAGGGGAACUGAGAGGUUGAUCCCCCACACUGGUACUGAGAUACGGACCAGACUCCUACGGGAGGCAGCAGUGAGGAAUAUUGGUCAAUGGACGGAAGUCUGAACCAGCCAUGUCGCGUGUCGGAAGACGGCCCUCUGGGUUGUAAACGGCUUUUCUUUGGGAAGAACACGCUCUUGCGAGAGCAACUGACGGUACCAAAGGAAUAAGCACCGGCUAACUACGUGCCAGCAGCCGCGGUAAUACGUAGGGUGCAAGCGUUGUCCGGAUUUAUUGGGUUUAAAGGGUGCGUAGGCGGCUAUUUAAGUCGUGGGUGAAAGCCCGUCGCUUAACGACGGAAUUGCCUGCGAUACUGGAUAGCUUGAGUAUCGUUAAGGUUGGCGGAAUGGGAGGUGUAGCGGUGAAAUGCAUAGAUACCUUCCAGAACACCGGUUGCGUAGGCAGCUGACUAGGCGAUAACUGACGCUGAGGCACGAAAGCGUGGGGAGCGAACAGGAUUAGAUACCCUGGUAGUCCACGCCG
rnacentral:rRNA from 1 species